UCCUGAAAAACGAAAAAACCAACUAAAGUGCCAGCAUAUCUCAGGGUAAAGUGAGGAGAAUAAAGACAACUGAAGACCCCACUUUUUCUCAUCUCUUGUAUGAAAUGCAAAUUUGUCACAUUGAUCCUUAUAAGUUUAGAAGAUUAAAUGCUACUUUGCAGUAACAGUUGGCUGGCAUUGAAAUAAAUUCACGGCAACUACAGAGCGCUACAGUCUAGGCAGAGACAACACUGGGCGAGAAGACCUUUUACAUUUGGUGUAAAUUUAAAGGGAGUCAAGAAAAUCAGUCACUUUCGAGCUACAUGUAAUUUUACACUAAAAUGAUUUUGUUCACCUUGUGUUGCAGCACGAUUAACUUUCAAAUUCUUCAACAUGUUAAAUGUUUAUUCAGAAGAGUCGACAUUCAAGUGUUUGGAAAAAAUAAAAGAAGGAAGAAAUAAAAGAAAAGAAAAGAGAGAGAAUGAAAGACGUGGUUUUCCGUGCACUCUUCUCGGUAGCAUUUGGGUGGUGAAGCAAUCAAUGGUCGCAGUUUUUGACAGCAAUGCAUUAUAUGGAGAGAGAUACUCAGCUCUAAUUCUUUACCCUUUCUCCAAGUUUUGUAACUAAAUAACCUUUUUAAAUAAAAUAUUGCAACAGUCCUGCA
rnacentral:lncRNA from 1 species